rnacentral:misc_RNA from 1 species
GAUGAAGAACGUAGCGAAAUACGAUAAGUAAUGCGAAUUGCAGAAUUUCCGUGAGUCAUCGAAUCUUUGAACGCACAUUGCGCCCGCCAGUAUUCUGGCGGGCAUGCCUGUUCGAGCGUCAUUUCAACCCUCAGGUCCCCCUUUUCGGAGGGGGAGACACCCUGGUGUUGGGGGACGGCAUCCUGGCCCGCUGUCUCAGCGUGCCACGCCGCCCCCGAAAUGAAUUGGCGGCCUCGUCGCGUGCCACCCCUGCGUAGUAGCACAACCUCGCAACGGGAGCCCGACGCGGCCACUGCCGUAAAACGCCCAACUUUUACAGAGUUGACCUCGAAUCAGGUAGGAAUACCCGCUGAACUUAAGCAUAUCAAUAAGCGGAGGA